rnacentral:rRNA from 1 species
GAUGAACGCUGGCGGCGUGCCUAAUACAUGCAAGUCGAGCGAACAGACGAGGAGCUUGCUCCUCUGACGUUAGCGGCGGACGGGUGAGUAACACGUGGAUAACCUACCUAUAAGACUGGGAUAACUUCGGGAAACCGGAGCUAAUACCGGAUAAUAUAUUGAACCGCAUGGUUCAAUAGUGAAAGACGGUUUUGCUGUCACUUAUAGAUGGAUCCGCGCCGCAUUAGCUAGUUGGUAAGGUAACGGCUUACCAAGGCAACGAUGCGUAGCCGACCUGAGAGGGUGAUCGGCCAUACUGGAACUGAGACACGGUCCAGACUCCUACGGGAGGCAGCAGUAGGGAAUCUUCCGCAAUGGGCGAAAGCCUGACGGAGCAACGCCGCGUGAGUGAUGAAGGUCUUCGGAUCGUAAAACUCUGUUAUUAGGGAAGAACAAAUGUGUAAGUAACUAUGCACGUCUUGACGGUACCUAAUCAGAAAGCUACGGCUAACUACGUG